rnacentral:rRNA from 1 species
UACGUAGGCAGCGAGCGUUGUUCGGAGUUACUGGGCGUAAAGAGUGCGUAGGCGGGCAGGUAAGUCCGUGGUGAAAUCUCUGAGCUUAACUCAGAAACUGCCAUGGAUACUAUUUGUCUUGAAUGUUGUGGAGGUAAGCGGAAUAUGUCAUGUAGCGGUGAAAUGCUUAGAUAUGACAUAGAACACCCAUUGCGAAGGCAGCUUACUACACAAAUAUUGACGCUGAGGCACGAAAGCGUGGGGAUCAAACAGG